GUUUUUUUUUUUUUUUUUUUAAUUUAAACUCCAGAGUUAACCUUUUGUACAGUGAAACUUAUUUAACUGCAUAGUUACCUUUUUGCGUGUUAAACUAGACCAUGUGUAUAAGCUGAAUGCCUUAAAUGAUAAAAUAGUAGAUCUUUCCCCACUUGACACUAUCUGUGUGGAUAGUGUAAUUGAAUGAUUCUCAGAAAAAAUAUGUUAUUCUGAUUCAUUAAUUAAACUUGUGUAUUUUGUUAAGACCACUUUCAAGAUUGCUAUUUAAUAUCUCAUAAGUGUGCAAUAAAAUGUAGUAAAGAGAAGAUAUUUGUUUUAUUGAAGUCUUUCGAUUUGCAUUAUGUGUUUUGUAUUUCUCAAACAGUAGUACAUCAUUGUAAUUUUAAUGGUUUUGAGAGACUUAAUCAUAAGUUGUUGGGCUUAGAAUUUGUCAUGAGUAAUAUUUUGAUUGUUAAAAAAAAAUUGUCAAGGCAGUGAUUAUUGGUCCAAGCUGGGUAAAGCUUACUCCUACCAAAUGUGUGAGAUGCAUUCAUGUACUGUUUAUUUGGUUAUCAAUUUCAUUGAUAUAUGAAUAAUAAUAGCAGUGUUAUAGUUGAUAAAAUAAAAAGUUUUUCUUAAAGUAAAUUUUUCAUAGAAGUAUCUAGUAAAGUCCAAUUAUUUUAAUCUUGUGUUUGAUGAUCAAAUGUUUCAGGACAUGUAUUAUUGAUGAAAAUAAAAAUGUUGAAAAAAAAA